GCAGGCUUAACACAUGCAAGUCGAGCGCUCGCAGCAAUGCGGGAGCGGCAGACGGGUGAGUAACGCGUGGGAACAUACCCUCCGGUUCGGAAUAACUCAGGGAAACUUGAGCUAAUACCGGAUACGGCUUAGCGGCGAAAGAUUUAUCGCCGGAGGAUUGGCCCGCGUCCGAUUAGCUAGUUGGUGAGGUAAUGGCUCACCAAGGCGACGAUCGGUAGCUGGUCUGAGAGGAUGAUCAGCCACAUUGGGACUGAGACACGGCCCAAACUCCUACGGGAGGCAGCAGUGGGGAAUAUUGGACAAUGGGCGCAAGCCUGAUCCAGCCAUGCCGCGUGAGUGAUGACGGCCUUAGGGUUGUAAAGCUCUUUCGCUAGGGACGAUAAUGACGGUACCUAGAUAAGAAGCCCCGGCUAACUUCGUGCCAGCAGCCGCGGUAAUACGAAGGGGGCUAGCGUUGUUCGGAAUUACUGGGCGUAGAGCGCGUGUAGGCGGGCCUUUAAGUCGGGGGUGAAAUGCCAAGGCUCAACCUUGGAACUGCCUUUGAUACUGGAAGUCUUGAGUCCGGGAGAGGUGAGUGGAACUGCGAGUGUAGAGGUGAAAUUCGUAGAUAUUCGCAAGAACACCAGUGGCGAAGGCGGCUCACUGGCCCGGAACUGACGCUGAGACGCGAAAGCGUGGGGAGCAAACAGGAUUAGAUACCCUGGUAGUCCACGCUGUAAACGAUGGAUGCUAGCCGUCGGGGAGCUCGCUCUUCAGUGGCGCAGCUAACGCUUUUAAGCAUCCCGCCUGGGGAGUACGGUCGCAAGAUUA
rnacentral:rRNA from 1 species